GGCAUGAGAGCCGGCGGGAGAUCACAGCGUCCUGGCAGCAGGAAGGACGUGGGGCAACUGGCUAAGGAAAAUGUGACACAUAAUGAAGGUGCAUUCAGAGGCAAUGUACUGCAGCAGGGCACCAGUGUAUUUUUUUUGAGAUAAAAGCAGGGACAAGACUCCAGGGAGUUGGAGGUUUAAGAAAACCCCUGGCUACCAUGAGGCUUGUGACAGAAUCACUGCUGCUGACUACACUGAUAAGCCUGAAGUUAUGACCUGAAGGUGCCUUAAAGGUUCAAAAACCAGAAGGUGAAUAAAAAGAAUCCCAACUGCGUUAA